AUCACUUCUCGGCCUUUUGGCUAAGAUCAAGUGUAGUAUCUGAUGUUUGCACACUAUUAAGACUUAUUUAGGUGUCCUGCACACCCAUCUACGCACAGCAGUCUCGGGCUUGACAUUUCAACCUGAGGAGGUGCCCUAUUU
ensembl:snRNA U2 U2 spliceosomal RNA